AUACGGAGGGAGCAAGCGUUAUUCGGAAUCACUGGGCGUAAAGGACGCGUAGGCGGGUUUGUAAGUCAGGUGUGAAAUCCUACAGCUCAACUGUAGAACUGCACUUGAAACUACAGACCUAGAGUAUGGAAGGGGCAGAUGGAAUUAGUGGUGUAGGGGUAAAAUCCGUAGAUAUCACUAGGAAUACCGAAAGCGAAGGCGGUCUGCUGGGACAUUACUGACGCUGAGGCGUGAAAGCGUGGGGAGCAAACAGGAUUAGAAACCCCAGUAGUCC
rnacentral:rRNA from 1 species